AUACGGAGGGUGCAAGCGUUACUCGGAAUCACUGGGCGUAAAGCGCGCGCAGGCGGCUUGAUAAGUUGGAUGUGAAAGCCUACGGCUCAACCGUAGAACUGCAUCCAAAACUGUCAAGCUAGAGCCUGGGAGGGGAAGAUGGAAUUAGUUGUGUAGGGGUAAAAUCCGUAGAGAUAACUAGGAAUACCAAAAGCGAAGGCGAUCUUCUGGAACAGUACUGACGCUGAGACUCGAAAGCGUGGGUAGCAAACAGGAUUAGAAACCCCAGUAGUCC
rnacentral:rRNA from 1 species